rnacentral:pre_miRNA from 1 species
CAUAUACUCCCUCCGUCCCAAAAUUCUUGUCUUAGAUUUGUUUAGAUAUGAAUGUAUCUAGUCAUGUUUUAGUAUUUUGAUACAUCCAUUUCUAGACAAACCUAAGACAAGAAUUUUGGGACGGAGGGAGUAUAUA